GAUGAACGCUGGCGGCGUGCUUAACACAUGCAAGUCGAAUGGAAAGGCCCUGCUUUUGUGCGGUGCUCGAGUGGCGGAGGGGUGAGUAACACGGGAGUAACCUGUCCUUUACUGGGGGAUAACUUGAGGAAACUGGGGCGAAUACCGGAUAGGAGCUCCUGCUGCGUGGUGGGGGUUGGAAAGUGUCGGUGGUUGGGGAUGGACGCGCGUCUUAUCAGCUUGUUGGUGGGGUAGUGGCUUACCAAGGUGUUGGGGGGUAGCCGGGCGGAGAGGGUGAGCGGCCACAUUGGGACUGAGAUACGGCCCAGACUCCUACAGGGGGCAGCAGUGGGGAAUAUUGCAGAAUGGGCGGACGCCUGAUGCAGAAACGUCGCGUGCGGGAUGACGGCCCUCGGGUUGUGAACCGCUUUCGCAUGUGACGAAGAGUGAGUGACGGUAAUGGGUAAAGAAGCAACGGCUAACUACGUG
rnacentral:rRNA from 1 species